rnacentral:misc_RNA from 1 species
GAACGUAACUAACUGUAUGCUACGGGCAGAAUUGCAGUCGUU